rnacentral:rRNA from 1 species
AUGCUCAACAUGCGGAAAAAUCCUCCUACCCGGAGGAAAACCCGCAGCCCACUUCGCCUACCCGGCGGAGUCGGUUCAGAGACUCGAUGAGCGUGGGUGCGGCCCUACUGGCCGCGCUUGAGAUAGAGCCCGUCCCCGCGGUUGACUGCGGGGAGCGAACGGAACCUGCGGAAGGAUCAUUAAUGAAUUCGGGCUUGCCGCUGUGAUGGCCCCCAUUCUCACCCUUUGUAUACUUAUCUCUGUUGCUUCGGCGGGCAAUGCGCCCGUCAGAGGACCUUAAACUCUUGAAUUAGUGAUGUCUGAGUAGCUAUAUAAUAGUUAAAACUUUCAACAACGGAUCUCUUGGUUAGACCAUCGAUGAAGAACGCAGCGAAAUGCGAUAAGUAAUGUGAAUUGCAGAAUUCAGUGAAUCAUCGAAUCUUUGAACGCACAUUGCGCUCCCUGGUAUUCCGGGGAGCAUGCCUGUUCGAGCGUCAUUACAACCCUCACGCUCCGCGUGGUAUUGGGCUCGCCCAGCUGGGCCUGCCUCAAAGCUAGUGGCGGCUUCUUCAGAACCCCUAAGCGUAGUAAUGCUACCCGCUUGUGGAGGCUGGAGCGGCUUGCUAGGAACCCCCACACUUUUAAAGGUUGACCUCGGAUCAGGUAGGGAUACCCGCUGAACUUAAGCAUAUCAAUAAGCGGAGGAAAAGAAACCAACAGGGAUUGCCUCAGUAACGGCGAGUGAAGCGGCAACAGCUCAAAUUUGAAAGCUGGCUCCUUCGGGGCCCGCGUUGUAAUUUGUAGAGGAUGCUUCGGCGGCGGUGCCGGUCUAAGUUCUUUGGAACAAGACGUCACAGAGGGUGAGAAUCCCGUAUGCGACUGGUCGCCUGUCGCCAUGUGAAGCUCCUUCGACGAGUCGAGUUGUUUGGGAAUGCAGCUCUAAAUGGGUGGUGUACUUCAUCUAAAGCUAAAUAUUGGGUCUAGACCGAUAGCGCACAAGUAGAGUGAUCGAAAGAUGAAAAGCACUUUGGAAAGAGAGUUAAACAGUACGUGAAAUUGUUGAAAGGGAAGCGCUUGCAAUCAGACUUGCGCUGCGCCGAUCAGCCUGGGUUCUCCCUGGUGCACUCGGCGCAGCUCAGGCCAGCAUCAGUUUCGGCGGUUGGAUAAAGGCCUAGGGAAUGUGGGUUGUUUCGGC